rnacentral:rRNA from 1 species
UCGAGGGGUAUUGUUCUUCGGAAUGAGAGACCGGCGCACGGGUGCGUAACGCGUAUGCAAUCUACCUUUCACAGAGGGAUAGCCCAGAGAAAUUUGGAUUAAUACCUCAUAGCAUUAUGAAAUGGCAUCAUUUUAUAAUUAAAGUCACAACGGUGAAAGAUGAGCAUGCGUCCCAUUAGCUAGUUGGUAAGGUAACGGCUUACCAAGGCUACGAUGGGUAGGGGUCCUGAGAGGGAGAUCCCCCACACUGGUACUGAGACACGGACCAGACUCCUACGGGAGGCAGCAGUGAGGAAUAUUGGUCAAUGGGCGCAAGCCUGAACCAGCCAUGCCGCGUGCAGGAUGACGGUCCUAUGGAUUGUAAACUGCUUUUGUACGGGAAGAAACACUCCGACGUGUCGGAGCUUGACGGUACCGUAAGAAUAAGGAUCGGCUAACUCCGUGCCAGCAGCCGCGGUAAUACGGAGGAUCCAAGCGUUAUCCGGAAUCAUUGGGUUUAAAGGGUCCGUAGGCGGUUUAGUAAGUCAGUGGUGAAAGCCCAUCGCUCAACGGUGGAACGGCCAUUGAUACUGCUAGACUUGAAUUAUUGGGAAGUAACUAGAAUAUGUAGUGUAGCGGUGAAAUGCUUAGAGAUUACAUGGAAUACCAAUUGCGAAGGCAGGUUACUACCAAUGGAUUGACGCUGAU